UGGGGAAUAUUGCACAAUGGGCGCAAGCCUGAUGCAGCCAUGCCGCGUGUGUGAAGAAGGCCUUCGGGUUGUAAAGCACUUUCAGCGAGGAGGAAGGUGGUGAGCUUAAUACGCUCAUCAAUUGACGUUACUCGCAGAAGAAGCACCGGCUAACUCCGUGCCAGCAGCCGCGGUAAUACGGAGGGUGCAAGCGUUAAUCGGAAUUACUGGGCGUAAAGCGCACGCAGGCGGUUUGUUAAGUCAGAUGUGAAAUCCCCGGGCUCAACCUGGGAACUGCAUUUGAAACUGGCAAGCUAGAGUCUCGUAGAGGGGGUAGAAUUCCAGGUGUAGCGGUGAAAUGCGUAGAGAUCUGGAGGAAUACCGGUGGCGAAGGCGGCCCCCUGGACGAAGACUGACGCUCAGGUGCGAAAGCGUGGGGCAGCAAACAGGAUUAGAUACCCUGGUAGUCCACGCUGUAAAACGAUGUCGAUUUUGGAGGUUGUGCCCUUGAGGCGUGGCUUCCGGAGCUAACGCGUUAAAUCGACCGCCUGGGGAGUACGGCCGCAAGGUUAAAACUUAAAGGAAUUG
rnacentral:rRNA from 1 species